GACGUAGGGCGCGAGCGUUGUCCGGAUUUAUUGGGCGUAAAGAGCUCGUAGGCGGUGUGUCACGUCGGCCGUGAAAACCUGCAGCUUAACUGUGGGCGUGCGGUCGAUACGGGCAUCACUGGAGUUCGGCAGGGGAGACUGGAAUUCCUGGUGUAGCGGUGAAAUGCGCAGAUAUCGGGAGGAACACCUGUGGCGAAGGCGGCCCCCUGGUUGGAUACUGACGCUGAGACGCGAAAGCGUGGGGAGCAAACAGG
rnacentral:rRNA from 1 species